GGUUAUAUGGCAGGGGCAGAUCUGGGGUGGGGGGUUUCAUGGACCGAAUGCUGUUUCUGAACCUUCUAUUCAGCAACAAGUGACUCAGGUAGAUUCAUAGGUACCACACCAUGAUUCAGCAAGGUGUAGCAAAGUUGUACCGGCUUGGAUAACAUUCACAU